rnacentral:rRNA from 1 species
UCGCCUGUUUAUCAAAAACAUCGCCUCCUGCAACUAUAUUGAGUAUAGGAGGUCCAGCCUGCCCAGUGACUACGGGUUCAACGGCCGCGGUAUUUUGACCGUGCAAAGGUAGCGCAAUCACUUGUCUCUUAAAUAGAGACCUGUAUGAAUGGCUAGACGAGGGCUUAACUGUCUCCCCCCUCCAGUCAGUGAAAUUGAUCUAUCCGUGCAGAAGCGGGUAUAAUUAUACAAGACGAGAAGACCCUUUGGAGCUUAAGGUACAAAAUUCAACCACGUUAAACGACUCUGUAGAAAGCAAGAACUUAGUGGCGGAUGAAAUUUUACCUUCGGUUGGGGCGACCACGGAGGAGAAAGAAGCCUCCGAGUGGACUGGGCUAAACCCCAAAGCUAAGAGAGACAUCUCUAAGCCGCAGAACAUCUGACCAAGAAUGAUCCGACUGAAAGGCCGAUCAACGAACCAAGUUACCCUAGGGAUAACAGCGCAAUCCUCUCCCAGAGUCCAUAUCGACGAGGGGGUUUACGACCUCGAUGUUGGAUCAGGACAUCCUAAUGGUGCAGCCGCUAUUAAGGGUUCGUUUGUUCAACGAUUAAAGUCCUACGUGAUCUGAGUUCAGACCGGA